rnacentral:tRNA from 1 species
ACACUGGAGGACUAGCGGUAAGGCCACAGCAUUCUUACCACUUACGGCCUGGGUUCGAUUCCCAGCCAGGGAA